AUUACAGGGGUGAGCCAUGGCGUCUGGCCUGUUGGUAUAUCUUUUAAAUAUAUAGCUUAUCUUCAAAAGAUACACUGCAUAUCUUUUAGUUAGUUUAUGUUAUCUUUUCCAUACAUGAAUUCUAAAGUUUUAUGUAGCCCAAUCUGCCAAAUCUGACAUGCCCUGUGAAACUCUCUACAAUUCAAGGCUAUAUAUAUGUCUUCCAUGUCCUAGUACCAUGUGUUCAAAACAGUAUACUUUCUCCUCUGAAUUGCCUUUUCACCUUUGUCAAAAAUCUGUUGUCUAUAUAUGUUUGCAUGGUUUUAUUUCUGGACUCUAUCGUGUGCCAACAAUUUCGUUGUCAAUCUUUAUGAUCAAUAAUUGCACAUUGUAUUGGUUACUGUAGCUUUACGAUAUGUGUUGAAAUCAGGUAACAUUAGCUCUCCAAAUUUUUUGUUCUUUUUCAAAAUUGUUUUGGCGAUUGUAGAUGCUUUGCAUUUCCAUAUGAAUUUUAUAAUCAGCCUGUCAAAUUCUGCCAAAAGGCCUGCUUGAGAUGGAAAUGAAUGUACAGCUCAAAUUGGGAAGAACUGAUAUCUUAACCAUAUUGAGCCUCCUGAAGCAUGAAAAAGAAUUGCCAUUUUUUGAAGAUAUUGAGUGGCAAGAUGAUCAAGGAAGACGGGUGCAGUUCAGGUAGUGAAUUGUGAUUGAUGAUGGUCACCUUACACCCACGUAUUUGGUUUAGGAGUUGACAGAUGGUCUAUUUCCGGUCAGUGAGACAUCAAAGUAGUUAUUUAUGGAGUUUUUUGGAAGUACGCAUUAUAUUUAAGAGGUGUAUGAAGAGAAAACUGUUUAUUUUCACCUUCUUUGGAUAUUUUGUGUGAAGAUGUAAGAAUGUGAUGCUUGGAGCUAAGUAGCUAUCUGAGGCUCUUGAGAGAAAGCCAUGAGUAACAGAGAAACCACCCAAAGCCUUCACUGUUGAAUGGUCAUGACCAGUUUUGAAACUGUCUAAUUCCAGACUUUUUAAUUAUUAAUUUAUUUUGGUUGAGCAUCAACAUUACUUACAAAUAAAAUUGACCUGAUUGAUAAAGCUCUAUACGCAGUGAAAAGAUGUACAACUCUGGAAUUAGCUUAUGUUGAAAUCAUGGGUAGCUCUUACUAGUGCUACUCACCAUUACACCAUGAACUAUUUACUUAAAUUAUCAAAGCCUUAGUUUUCCCAUCUGUAAAAUGGAAAUAAUAUAGUUUCUAUCUUAUAAGGAAGUUUUUAAUGUCAGUGACAAAUCUUUAUGUAUAUAUAGAGAGAGUUUAGCAGAGUGACUUUAGUGAAGCUCAGUAUUAACUAUUGUUAAUAAAGUAACAAUAUUAAUCUAUACUGAUAUGGAGGGUAUACAUGUAAUAUUAAGUGAUGAAAGCAUCAUUAUGUACAGCAGUUACCAUUUUAUAAAAAUAAAUAUAUAUCCCUAGAAAAAUUCUAGAAAUGCAUACCAAUUAAGGUAUUAUUAAUAAUAAUGCUUAUCUUUGGGUAUUAGGAUUACUGAUACUUUUAAUUCUGUUCUUUUUAUUUUUCUAAAUGUUCUGGAAUUUUAAAAGUAAGCAUAUAUUAUACACAUACAUGUAUAUAUACACACACAUACACAUAUAUGUUUUAAAGCAGUUAAAUUUGGUGGGUGGUAUGAAGAGGCAGAAAGAAUGGAAAAACCUGCAGAGAAUAUUCAGAAGGAGUGAGGAAUAGGGAGUUGAGAACAGCUGCAGAAGCAAAGGGAGGAACUGAUUUUAGGAAAGGGGUAAUCAACAUUAUGGAGUGCUUCUGGAGAGUGACAAGUCAGAUAAAGAUUGAAAAGCAUUCACUGAGUUUCAUCUUACAGAGACCAGUGGUUACCUUAGAGAGAACUGUGUCAACUAAGAAACCAGAGUGCAGUGAAAAUGAGAAGUAAAUGCUCAACUAAGAAAGGAGUUGAAAAACGACUAAAUGGCAAAAGUAAAUGUAUAUUAAUCUUUCAAUAAGCUGGACUGUGAAGAAGAAAGAGAGGGA